AUCUCAUUGCUUUGCUUCCUAAAAGAAGUGAUGCCUAUGAGAAGAAAAAUGAGUGGGAGUUAGAUGAAAAUUCAAACAACAUUCCAAGUAGAGGCAACGUGGUAUGCACAGAACACUUUGGCAGUUUAACUUCAAGAGGACAAAUUUCCAAGCUCAUGGUUCUGUCAUCUCUGUGAAGCUCUAGUUAGGUUACACCAGCACCUGGAGCUAUGUACCCAUCUUCCUGGCAAAGUUACUCUUUUGUAUUUUUGAAGAAUAAAGGAAGAGGCUUACCCUCUGAUUCCAUACACAUUUAUUUCAUGUUGACUGAGAUGAGGACUGAGAAAUUUCACUUCUGUUAUCCCUGAUUGAUGAAUGGAUUGAUUAUGGCUAACUGGGCCUAAGUUGAAAAGUUUUGGAGGCUAAUUAAUUCCAUUCUCACUGAAAAUUAAACAYAAUACCUAAUGUGAGCUGACAGCAAGAAAAGCUUACCUUCACAGGUGAUAUUUUUGUCACCUCUGACUUAAACAACUGGUAGUAGAAAUAAUUUCACUCAAAGACUGAGCCUGCACAGAAAUGAAAACAAGCUAGGAGAUAGCAGAAAAAAACAUUUAUGGGUACUAUAGAAGACAGGGGUUUCUCUAUCCAAGGUAAUAAAGGAGAAAGUAACUUCCACUGUGGGAAAUAAAAAGUAAUGAGUUUUGGAAACAGA